rnacentral:rRNA from 1 species
UUUCCAGACUCCUACGGGAGGCAGCAGUGGGGAAUAUUGCACAAUGGGGGAAGCCCUGAUGCAGCGACGCCGCGUGAGUGAAGAAGUAUCUCGGUAUGUAAAGCUCUAUCAGCAGGGAAGAAAAUGGCGGUACCUGACUAAGAAGCCCCGGCUAACUACGUGCCAGCAGCCGCGGUAAUACGUAGGGGGCAAGCGUUAUCCGGAUUUACUGGGUGUAAAGGGAGCGUAGACGGCAGUGCAAGUCCGGAGUGAAAGCCCGGGGCUCAACCCUGGGACUGCUCUGGAAACUGUAAAGCUGGAGUGCGGGAGGGGCAGGCGGAAUUCCUGGUGUAGCGGUGAAAUGCGUAGAUAUCAGGAGGAACACCGGCGGCGAAGGCGGCCUGCUGGACCGUAACUGACGUUGAGGCUCGAAAGCGUGGGGAGCAAACAGGAUUAGAUACCCCAGUAAUG